UGAGUAACACGUAUCCAACCUGCCGUCUACUCUUGGACAGCCUUCUGAAAGGAAGAUUAAUACAAGAUGGCAUCAUGAGUCCACAUGUUCACAUGAUUAAAGGUAUUCCGGUAGACGAUGGGGAUGCGUUCCAUUAGAUAGUAGGCGGGGUAACGGCCCACCUAGUCUUCGAUGGAUAGGGGUUCUGAGAGGAAGGUCCCCCACAUUGGAACUGAGCACGGUCCAA
rnacentral:rRNA from 1 species